rnacentral:rRNA from 1 species
ACGGGUGAGUAACGCGUGGGAAUCUACCCAUCUCUACGGAAUAACGCAUGGAAACGUGUGCUAAUACCGUAUACGUCCUUCGGGAGAAAGAUUUAUCGGAGAUGGAUGAGCCCGCGUUGGAUUAGCUAGUUGGUGGGGUAAAGGCCUACCAAGGCGACGAUCCAUAGCUGGUCUGAGAGGAUGAUCAGCCACACUGGGACUGAGACACGGCCCAGACUCCUACGGGAGGCAGCAGUGGGGAAUAUUGGACAAUGGGCGCAAGCCUGAUCCAGCCAUGCCGCGUGAGUGACGAAGGCCCUAGGGUUGUAAAGCUCUUUCACCGGUGAAGAUAAUGACGGUAACCGGAGAAGAAGCCCCGGCUAACUUCGUGCCAGCAGCCGCGGUAAUACGAAGGGGGCUAGCGUUGUUCGGAUUUACUGGGCGUAAAGCGCACGUAGGCGGACUAUUAAGUCAGGGGUGAAAUCCCGGGGCUCAACCCCGGAACUGCCUUUGAUACUGGUAGUCUUGAGUUCGAGAGAGGUGAGUGGAAUUCCGAGUGUAGAGGUGAAAUUCGUAGA